rnacentral:rRNA from 1 species
CAGCAGCCGCGGUAAUACGAAGGGUGCAAGCGUUAAUCGGAAUCACUGGGCGUAAAGCGUGCGUAGGCGGUUUGUUAAGUCUGCUGUGAAAUCCCCGGGCUCAACCUGGGAAUGGCAGUGGAUACUGGCAAGCUAGAGUGUGUCAGAGGAUGGUGGAAUUCCCGGUGUAGCGGUGAAAUGCGUAGAGAUCGGGAGGAACAUCAGUGGCGAAGGCGGCCAUCUGGGACAACACUGACGCUGAGGCACGAAAGCGUGGGGAGCAAACAGGAUUAGAUACCCCCGUAGUCCCUGUCUCUUAUAA